rnacentral:rRNA from 1 species
UACGUAGGGUGCGAGCGUUACUCGGAAUUACUGGGCGUAAAGCGUGCGCAGGCGGUUUUGUAAGACAGAUGUGAAAUCCCCGGGCUCAACCUGGGAACUGCAUUUGUGACUGCAAAGCUAGAGUACGGCAGAGGGGGAUGGAAUUCCGCGUGUAGCAGUGAAAUGCGUAGAUAUCGGGAGGAACACCAGUGGCGAAGGCGACUACCUGGCCUGUUCUUGACGCUGAGGCGCGAAAGCUAGGGGAGCAAACGGG